rnacentral:rRNA from 1 species
CGAACGCUGGCGGCGUGCUUAACACAUGCACGUCGAACGGAAAGGCCCUGCUUUUGUGGGGUGCUCGAGUGGCGAACGGGUGAGUAACACGUGAGUAACCUGCCCUUGACUUUGGGAUAACUUCAGGAAACUGGGGCUAAUACCGGAUAGGAGCUCCUGCUGCAUGGUGGGGGUUGGAAAGUUUCGGCGGUUGGGGAUGGACUCGCGGCUUAUCAGCUUGUUGGUGGGGCAGUGGCUUACCAAGGCUUUGACGGGUAGCCGGCCUGAGAGGGUGACCGGCCACAUUGGGACUGAGAUACGGCCCAGACUCCUACGGGAGGCAGCAGUGGGGAAUAUUGCACAAUGGGCGGAAGCCUGAUGCAGCAACGCCGCGUGCGGGAUGACGGCCUUCGGGUUGUAAACCGCUUUCGCCUGUGACGAAGCGUGAGUGACGGUAAUGGGUAAAGAAGCACCGGCUAACUACGUG